rnacentral:rRNA from 1 species
CAGCCGCCGCGGUAAUACAGAGGAUGCAAGCGUUAUCCGGAAUGAUUGGGCGUAAAGCGUCUGUAGGUGGCUUUUCAAGUCCGCCGUCAAAUCUCAGGGCUCAACCCUGGACAGGCGAUGGAUACUGGGCGACUAGAGUGCGGUAGAGGAUAGUGGAAUUUCCGGUGUAGCAGUGAAAUGCGUAGAGAUCGGAAGGAACAUCUGUGGCGAAGGCGACUAUCUGGGCCAACACUGACACUGAGACACGAAAGCGUGGGGAGCAAACAGGAUUAGAUACCCGAGUAGUCCCUGUCUCUUAUAC